GACGAACGCUGGCGGCGUGCUUAACACAUGCAAGUCGUACGGUAAGGCCCUUUCGGGGGUACACGAGUGGCGAACGGGUGAGUAACACGUGAGUAACCUGCCCACAACUUUGGGAUAACGCUAGGAAACUGGUGCUAAUACUGGAUAUGUGCUCCUGCUGCAUGGUGGGGGUUGGAAAGCUCCGGCGGUUGUGGAUGGACUCGCGGCCUAUCAGCUUGGUGGUGGGGUAGUGGCCUACCAAGGCGGCGACGGGUAGCCGGCCUGAGAGGGUGACCGGCCACAUUGGGACUGAGAUACGGCCCAGACUCCUACGGGAGGCAGCAGUGGGGAAUAUUGCACAAUGGGCGCAAGCCUGAUGCAGCAACGCCGCGUGCGGGAUGACGGCCUUCGGGUUGUAAACCGCUUUCAGCAGGGACGAAGCUUUUUGUGACGGUACCUGCAGAAGAAGCACCGGCUAACUACGUG
rnacentral:rRNA from 1 species